rnacentral:rRNA from 1 species
CCUACGGGAGGCAGCAGUGGGGAAUAUUGGACAAUGGGGGGAACCCUGAUCCAGCGACGCCGCGUGAGUGAAGAAGUAUUUCGGUAUGUAAAGCUCUAUCAGCAGGGAAGAAAGAAAUGACGGUACCUGACUAAGAAGCCCAGGCUAACUACGUGCCAGCAGCAGCGGGAAUACGUAGGGGGCAAGCGUUAUCCGGAUUUACUGGGUGUAAAGGGAGCGUAGACGGCGAUGCACGUCUGAAGUGAAAGGCGGGGGCCCAACCCCCGGACUGCUUUGGAAACUGUAUGGCUGGAGUGCAGGAGAGGUAAGUGGAAUGCCUAGUGUAGCGGUGAAAGGCGUAGAUAUUAGGAGGAACACCAGUGGCGAAGGCGGCUUACUGGACUGUAACUGACGUUGAGGCUCGAAAGCGUGGGGAGCAAACAGGAUUAGAUACCCGAGUAGUC